GACGUAGGGCGCAAGCGUUGUCCGGAUUUAUUGGGCGUAAAGAGCUCGUAGGCGGCUUGUUGCGUCGGCUGUGAAAACCCGCGGCUUAACCGUGGGCUUGCAGCCGAUACGGGCGGGCUGGAGUUCGGUAGGGGAGACUGGAAUUCCUGGUGUAGCGGUGAAAUGCGCAGAUAUCAGGAGGAACACCAGUGGCGAAGGCGACUUCCUGGCCUGUUCUUGACGCUGAGGCGCGAAAGCUAGGGGAGCAAACGGG
rnacentral:rRNA from 1 species